ensembl:lncRNA
CUUUAAAGGUCAUAUCUAAGAAAGUAUGUGCUGCAGCAAGCUGGCACAGUGAAUAUGGAGCAGAUGAAACAAGGAACAAGCAUCAGUCAAGCAGAAUAAACAGCUUUUCUGAAUUUAAGGACAUAGAAUAGUAAAUGGGGUGUUCGUGAGACAGAGGAACGCUAACAGUAGGAGUUGGAAAGUAAUGGUGUAGCAGCACAAAGCUAUAUAAGGAGGGCCAGACUACACAUUAGGGUGCCAGAGAAAGGCCAUAAAAGGUCAUUUUGACAAGCUGAAUAUGGAUAAUGAGUUGAGACAGAUGGUGUAAGAGUAAGGCAGCUAAUAAAUAAUGAACAGACUUGCUUCAAGGAGCAAAAGGAGGGAGGAAUCACAGCUGAAACCUUAGUCAGAGGGAGGAGGUGAAGGGGAAAAGAACAAACCCAAGGAUGAUGGGAGAGAAUCACAGCAGGAGGACUGGUGGGAGGAGGGUACGGUCUCAAGCACCAGAAUUUUGUGGAGAUGGUAAUUUACGCAAAGAAAACUUAGCAAUGCAUAUGCCUGAACUGGAAUUCAGCCAUCUUGUUGACAUUAACAUCUUUUUGCAGAGGAAAUACUCAUGGCCUCUAAACCUCUCCUAGCUAUCUAUUGCCCCUUCUCUGCCAUUAUCGCAGUGCCUAAGCAGCUUACAGUGCUUGUACUUCCACAAAAGUCUGGGAAAAGUACUUAGGUUUGUUUUUUACAGCAUAACCUGAGGCAAAGAUACCAAAGCUUCAUAGGGCCAUUGAAAUGUCCCACAGCCACAGGCCCCCUGCAGAUCAGCAAGCUGAAAUCUCCUAACUUUUGCAUCCAUCUUUGACACCAUGACCAAGAUGAAGGUGGGCACCAAUGCCCCCACAACUCUUUUGAGGCACAAGACCUGACCUGGGUAUCGCUCAAUGCUUCCAGAUGUCCCAUUAUAGAUGUAAACCAAGAAGCUAACCCAAGGUCACGUAGGGAAGCUACAUCAGUGUCAAACAUUGAAUCCAAGUUUCUGUUAUGUCGUUGUCUUUUUCAAUAUCUUAGAGAGCUAGUGUCUCUUAGACUUCAUUGCUUAUUAAUAAACCAAUCUCUUCACCAGCAAUGCACCUGACAGUAUAAAACUACAGGUAAUUUAGUGUUGAUGCAGAAAGAACAGUGCCCUGGUGCCCUCUAAUGAUUUUGAUGCUUCCAAGUGUACUUGCCCUUGAACAGCUUACAAGGUCUAACCUUCCUGAACCUGUAGUUCCUGACAAGGUUCCAGAGAUGACUGUAAGAAGUAACCUUGGUUAUAAACUGCCCACGAUUCAGCAAAUUCUGCCUGUGUCAGACAGCAAGCAUGCAUGAUUAACUAUGAACUGCUUAGCUCAUUGGCAAAGAUGUGACUAGCUACAAAGGGGAUUUCUAUUUCAUCGCACUUGGAAUCUGUGUUAUUAAAUAAUGAGCCACUUAAUGAACUCAUUCAUUAAUACAUGGCUGUGAUGAAUAGAUUUUCUCCAGUGGCAGAGUUGUGAAAGCAGUUGCAAACCUGAGUGAAUUCCAAAUGCUGCUUUCUUUCAGAAGAAAUUCGAUUUGAGCAAGUAUCUUUAUUAAGAUUUAUUUAUUAUCUCAUUCAUUCUACUGCUUCCAGCUAACACAGCGGUGUCAAAGGUCUGCUGUGUUUGUGCCCCUCCAGCACUCCCUGCUCAUUUCCUUCUCACCUUUCUGCCUUGCCAAAACCUGAAGAUCCCCUUCACUUCAGCUCUACUCUCUUGAUAGUCUUCAGGGCAGUCGUGCCACAAAAUCGUUCUUUGCCCAGACCCUUUCAGUACUUAAAGGGGACCCAUGAGAAAGAUGAGGAGAGACUCUUCAUUAGCGAGUAUAGUGAUUGGACAAGGGGUAACAGCUUUAAACUAAGAGUAGAUUUAGAUUAGACAUUAGAAAGAAAUUCUUUACUCAGAGGGUGGUGAGGCACUGGCACAGCUGCCCAGAUAGGUUGUGGGUGCCACACAUCCCUGGAGGUGCUCAAGGCCAGGCUGGAUGGGGCCCUGUGCAGCCUGAGCUGGUGGAAGGUGUCCCUGCUCAUGGCACAGGAUUGGCAUAGAUUGCAUUAGUCUUUAAGGUCACUUCCAGCCCAAACCAUUCUAUGAUCAUUCCCUAUCUCACAUAGGAAAUGACUGUAUUGCUCUAUUUCCUGGGUUCACCUUCCCAUUGCUUUGAGACUGACAAACCACUCCACAAACCAGAGACAGAAGGACAAAUCAUUCAAUGCAUCUAAAACAAAAACACUUGCAAGGUUUUCCUCUCUUGUUUUCCAAGAGUGUGUUAAGGAAGGUCUCUAGCAGAGAAUUUCACCAGCUGAGAGCUUUCCCUGCAGGGAACUGUUCCUUUUGUUUGGAACAGCUCUUUUGCAGCCCAGGGUGCUCAGGCAUCAGUCUCUAGAGACAGUUGCUUGCCAGCUCCAGUGAAGUGUACCAAGCCACUGCCCAUGCCAGUACACAGGCUCAUUCCAAGAAAUCCCCCGUGCUGCAGCCUGUCACAGCCAACCUUAUGCUUCCACUGUGCUCCUUAAUAGGGUUGUUACUUGUCCAUCCUUCUGGGGCUACAAGAAAAUAGUCUCAGGAAAUGUAGUUAUUGCAAAGCUAAGAGUUAGAUCAAUUAAGAGGGGUGAUUCUCAAACUAAAUCCAGCAUCUCUCUCUCUUUUUGCACAAGCCCUCCAAUGCAAUUGUUCUGGGGCUACAAGAGCUUUAAAAAUUGCAGAUAUGCUGCUCAUUACGCACCUUACCUGUGGAGAAACAGAAGCACAAGUAGCAGCAGGUUUAAAGAGAUGUUCACUCUGAGACUCUUUUCAAGGUUAUUUAGCAGAGAAAGUACAGGAGUAAUUGGCUUUGCUCCAUCUAUUUUCAUAGCAUUUUGAUUGCUCUGACCAUUUUUCGCUAUGAAAUACUACUAAAGAGACCUGAAAUUUGUAGCAUCCAGGAUCAUUCAACAGAUAGCAUGAUGUGGUUAUUGUAUUUGCUAUGUGCACUCCAUGAAUGAUGCCUCCUUUAAGAAAGCAACUUGCAAAGCUUGUCUUGGCUGCAGACUACACGUUGAGUACCUCAGAUGCCCAGAUUUUUGAAGAACAUGGUUUUGAAGCAGGCAUCUCACAGCAAAUCACAAAAAUAGAUAGAUCUUAUUUUCACUCACUAGCUGUGCAAACUCAAGUUGUCAUAGGGUCUGGAAUAUAUUGGCACUGAUUUAACAGCAAUACAAGGCCUCAUAUAUAGCAACACUGCAAUUAUACUUGUGUUUUAUACCCAUAUGGAGGCUUUCAACUCAAAAGAGUCUCCAGCAGCUGCCGAGAGGUAUGAGAUAUAGCAAGGGAGGUAGGACGAGGCAGGGUGAAGGACAAAAAGGAAGGGAGAGGAAAUGUACUGCUCUCGGGAAUAGCCAGCCUUGGAAACUGAUGUUACCUUGAGGCAGUAAAAGGGCAGAAUAUACGCAGUUAGGCAUAGCACUUCAUAGUAGUAAGAAGGCUGUAUGUUUGCCUCCCAAAUAGCCUAAUAAAUUCCUAUUAUUAGGAUGGACAUUAACGAUGAAAAAUCUUCAUCUCCAAAAAUUAAUAGGUUCGAUAUAUCAUUAGAAUAGAUCGUCACAUAGCUAUCUGUACACAAGAGAGAAAAUCCUCACAACCACCUGUUGAGGCAGGGGAAGGAUUUAGCUAUUAUUUAUUGCUCAGUGUGACUCAUGCUUGUGGGUAGGGACGCGACAGUGCAGAUGGGAGUUAAAGUCAAACUGCCGUCAGCGCAAUUUAUGCCAGGAGAGUUGAAUUCAGGCUACUUCUGUAUUCCAUAUGAUUCUUCUGUAAAAUAUGGAAAGGGUAUGAAAACAGUUUGAAAAAUGCAUGCCUGGGCUGCCAUUUGUCGGAGCUCAGGCUCGGUUAGAGGCAAGAUGGCUGCAGGUCUUGGGCAGCAUUGAGAGCUGCACGGCAGGAGGGAAGCAUUGCCUGCAGGUCGCUGCAGCAAGGGGUUUUCCUGCAGCCUGGCAUCAUGCAGAGCGCUCCCUUGGCUCAUGGACAGAGUUGAUUUCUUCUGGUAGAGUAAUCCUGGCUGCCAAGUGAAGGCAAAACUGCUGAUCCUUCUGCACAGCACCCACAGAUCAGUCCCUUCUCAGAGCAGUUUUGACACCAACCUGACAAAUCGCCAGCUGCUCUGCUACAGAUGGUUGGGGUGCUGCUGACUCUCUCUGCUGGAAGGUGCCAAGGCUUUCCUGCCCUUCCUGGCUCCUUUCUCACUCAGACAUUCUGUCUGAUUUUUUCUUAAUGCACUUGAUAUAAUUUGUAGGAACUUUCCAGCCCCAUCGGCUCAUGCUGUUGGUCUAUUUGUCCCUGAGCUCUGAGAUGCUGACGAGCACUAUCUGAUAGACUUCAAAGGAUGAGAAAAACAUCCAUGCUUUACUUCCAGCACAAGGCUGUAUGAAGUGGGGGAUGGAGAAUCCAAAGCAGCCCCUGAGCUGAUCAACAUGGAGAAGGGGAAGAUCAGAGGAUAUUUAAUUAGAUUCCUAAUUAUGGAGCUUAUUAGCAGUCAUAAAAUCACCAGGGUUUGGAUCGCAUAGAAAUGGGAAUGGCAGAUCUCAGAGACACACAUCACAUAGAUAAAUGUGAUUAUUCCUUUGGCUUGAUCUCAACUGGAAGAAUAGCUCACUGCAUUAUCAGCAACUGAAGAUGUACCCCUGAUGCAUAAUUUGUUCUUUCUACAGUAAAGGCAAGAGACAGAAAUCACAUAGGCACAAUUGGGUUCAGGAUAUUUCAAUCUUAAAGUAAAAUUGAGAAAAAAAAAAGGGGGGAGCACCAUAGGAAAGCCCACACCGUACUGAAAGAAAUACAGCCUUAUCUUUAUUUUCUGCAUCCCUUCUAAGAAUACAGCUCUGCAGACACUUCUUUCUUCCAUGUGAUUCUAAGGAUGCCCAGCAAACAAAGAGUCUGCUGGAAACCAGUGGAAUAAGCUUGGCCAUCACAAAAUGAGCCUGAAUGAUUUUGUCCACCUUGAUUGUCUGUUUUGUUCAUUCAUACAGGAGAAAGGACUAGAAGAUUGUCCAAUUUUCUCUGGGGGAAGAAAGAAAAUAAACCCUUUUCCUUCAUAUCGGUCAAUAUUUUCUUCAAAAUUUAUCAGAUUCUCCCCAGAGGUUCAGCAUACUGCAGUUGGUUCAGUCUUUUUCAAUGGAAAAUGGACAAAAGGGAACGGUUGCUUCUCAAACAUUUCCAAUUUGUCCAGAAUUGAUCUUUUUUUUUUUUUUUUUCUUUUGUGAAUAAAAUGUUUGGAUGAAAAUUGUUUGAGCGGAGAGAGGGAGCAUGUUCUCCAAGGAUGGGGAGCUUCUCUUUUGCAUGAAUGCAUUUGGCAACACUGGAUGAUACAGAUGAUCUGUCUUUCCUACCCAGCUGGACCCAGCUGCACAGUGAGAAGGGGGAGAGAAAAUGAACAAAAAAAAAUGCUGCUCCAUCCAAUGUGAGCUCAGGAACAAGGAGAGUGUGAACUGGCCAGGAAAUAAGGAACUGGGAAUAAGAAGAAAAUUUCAAAGAAAUCCAUGAGUCAAAAAACCCCACAGCAACAUCUCGAGUGCAGCAAACCAGGGGACCAAGAUGGAGUGCUGAGUUCCUGCUGAUCUGUCCUCAGUUGCACCAAAUGAGAAAUCAACUUGGCCAUGUUUUGGGACAUUUAUAGCAGAUGUGAGAGCCUGAAAUUCAACCUGAGGCUGGAGGUCAGACAAAGCUUCCUGACUGCAAUAUCUGUGGGGCUGAAGGGCAGGAUGUGCAGGAUGUGAGGAGCAGCUUGCUUUCUUCAUCAGCCCAAUGGCAGAUCUAAGAACAUACCUUCACUUUGCGGAGGAUGGCAUGACCUCAGAGCACUGCCACAGUCACCAGAAGGGCUCAUGGAUGGCGCUGGUUAUGGUGGGAUCUGUCACGCGUGCACUGGAGGUAGGCUCCAUGCUCUUCCGUGCCUCCACCAAAGUUAUCAAUUUGGGGCUAUCACACAUGGAAAGGCUCCUCACCUCCUCCCAAAUGUCAAAAACCUUGGCUAGCAGCCAACAGCAGACGUUUCAGGAGAAGAAACCACUGGGAUUUCUCAAUCUGGGUCUGCUAUAAAUCAUUUAACACCUCAUCCACAAGUGCUCCUAACUAAAGCACACCAGGAGAAGGUUUUUUUGUGAACCUCCAUUCUUUGCUCAUAAACCUCACCAAUCUCUCAGUCAUCAUCAUGGAGACAUCCAAUUAAAUCUGUCUCUAGAUUAAUAUUCUGGGUGUACUAAUCCACCUGGCAAUGUGCCUCAGAGGAAGAGGGUAGCUACCAGAAGGAGAUGCCACCAGCAUUGUUCAAGGCCUGUCACUGCUUUGUCAGACUGUUUCAUAAAUGGAGAUCCUCGGUGAAGCCUCUGUCACCAGCCCUAUGGGUGUUUCCUCUGCCUGCCACAAAACCAGGAGCAUCACGCAUGCCUAAGGAGAUCGAGAACCUGUAAGCUGCAAUAAUUAGAGCAGUUAAAGCUGGCAAAUCUGCAGCAGCAUGACCAGCUGCCAUAAGGGACAAGAAAUACAUCCCAUGUAGGAGGCAGGCUCUUCCCCGCUGCCUGGAGGUUGUGGCUCCCAUUGUAUUUUUCCCAGGGUCAAAAUUUCCUGCAGUGAUUCUGCUCACCCUCUUGCUGUUUACAGAUCCAUAGGGAUUGUCUUCAUGCUAUGACUGGGAAACUCUCCAUGUUGCAGGGGUGCUGAGUGGUAACGCUGGGACUGCCUUGUCCUGAGGACAUCUACUCUUCUUGCUCACUGUCAGCUCAGGAGGACAUGAAGCCAAGGAGGCAGCAGCUAUGAUGGCAUCACGGAGGGAACCAGAGCCUGAAUAAACACAUACGUCACCCAGCUGAGAGUGGAUGAACUUCAGCUUCCUCCAAACACACCUCUCACAAGAGCUGCUGUGAAUCACAGCAAAACAUCGAGUCUAACUGAAACACUGAAUCACAGAACCAGCUGUCACACAGCCCUGCAGCAUCUCCUGCAGGAGCUCAUCCAGCAUCAGCCCUGCUCUCCAGGUCUCUCUCUUCUGCAGGACAUCCACAUCCUCAAAGCAAGAAACAGAGGAAGGCAUUUCUCAGAUGGAUGGAUUUAAGCAGCGGACAUGGGGCAGUUCUGGUCUGUAAGCCAUGUCGGCCACAGGAGUUCUUGUUAUUUGGAGAUGGUGUUUUAGGUUAUGGGACAAGAUUGCUUCACCUUUGAGCGGGCAGGUAAGGGCAUCUUGGACCUGCAUCUGGCUUCUGUUGGCUUGAUCUGAUGUCCUCUGGGUCUUGGAUGAGAGGAGAGAGUAUGCAGCUCUACUCAGUGCCUCCAUGUCUCUCACAGCUUUGUAGAUCUAUCCUAUCUCUCCAUAUCUACAGCCAUAUCCCCAGGUCUAUAACACCAAGAAGAGCAGAAAACAACUCGGAAAGCCAGUAACCCCUAUGCUUCACUGAGGCAAAUCCAAAUACUCUAAAGCACUUUCACAUUUCAUCUACCUCCAAAGAAGAAAAGCCUUGACUUCUUCUUUCUCUCUGGGAUUAAGGCAUUCCAGAACAAGCACAGGAGACCUGUGUCACCUUAGCCGUGGGGGAGUCUUUAAAUCUGAUCAUAAGCAUCUACCAGGACAGUUCUAGGAAAAAAAGCUAUUUGUCAUUCAAGUUGCCUGAACUUCCAGGCUCCUAUACCCAGGCUCAGGUCUCUUCUGUAAGGGUUCUACACCCUCUUUUUACCCAGUCUUUCCUUCUAAUUCAUUCCAGACAAAGGAAUCCACUAGGCCACCUUGCUGCCCAGCUUUCUUCUACCACCAAACACCAGCAUGCAUCUACUGGCAUAAACGUGAUCACAAAGUCGUGACUGCACAGGGAGAACAAACAUGCUGAGCAGAUGGGUUGUGAGGGAGGAAGCCCUCAUUUAAAAUACAAAUAACUGGCAAUAACUUAGCAGAUGUGGUAAGAGGAAUCUGGACAGACAAGCACGAGGUGACUGGAUUCCAAUUUCAGUUAAGUAAUGUGGAAUUUUCCCUGGCAAAGAAAGGUUUCAUCUUCCAUCUCCUUGAUUACCUUGUCCAGAAGAGAUAAUUACUUUGAUGUUAGGUGUCUUCACAAGAAUGAUAGAGGGUAUUCUUCAUUUAGGAUCUUAUACGACUCCCUGCCCUUACAAGGUAGAUUUUUCACUAGAGAAAUCUAGCCUCUAUAGCCCAGAAGUCCAUGAGAAAAGACUAAAAUUCAAGCAGAAGUCCCCAGCCAAAGACUUUAGUGUCUGUCCUUCUCUUCCCCAACAUCAGAUCAGCAUCCCUCAGGAAAUAUCUUGGAGAUGUUAAAGAAAUCUAUACAUCUAGCAUACUGCAAUAUUAGUUUGGCCCUGGAAUCUCAUCUUGGCAGAUGUACCAACAUUACCACAGAUGAGUAUGAGGAUUUUCUCCUUAUAAUUGUUACAGAGACAUUAAUCAUGCAGGGGAAAUUAACCCUGCCAGGCAGCACUGCAGCAGAGAUCAGGAAAGCACAGUCAUCGCUGGCCAACGGCUCAAGCUGAACGUGGGAGAAAUGUCAGGUGCACAGACACACAACAGAUAGCAAAAAUAUUCUGUGAUCCUCAGUCAGGGGAAACAAAACCUGCCUUAUUCAAGAUUUCCCUUCAUAUGCAAUCAUCAGGCUCUCCAAAGACAACACAUUUGGCAGCUCCUGCACUCUCUCCUUACAUAAGGUGGGGAUUCAGUCAUCUAAAGCUCACUCCUUGUUCCUGUAUGCACUGCACCCCCUGUUCACAAGACACAGAUCUUGCACAGAAGCUUGUUGCCCUGAAGCCCACGAGAAACAAAAAUCAAAGCCAAAACUUGAUGCUUAGAAGAGGAAUAGCUGUAGGUAUAAUGAAACUCCAAGGCUGCUCUUGAGUGAGGACAAGAAGCACAGUCCUCACCCCAGGUGUCACAGGACCUGCCAUCAGGGAGCACAACACGUGUGAGUUUAUUGCAGGUGGAGGUUUCUGUAUGAACACUUCAGGAGAGGAACAUGUUUAUAAACAAAUCACCCCCGCAAUUUUCUCC